rnacentral:rRNA from 1 species
GACGAACGCUGGCGGCGUGCUUAACACAUGCAAGUCGAACGGAAAGGCCCGGCACUUGUGGGGUGCGCGAGUGGCGAAAGGGGGAGUAACACGUGAGUAGCCUGCCCUUGACUUUGGGAUAACUCCAGGAAACUGGGGCUAUUACCGCACAGGAGCACCUGCUGCAUGGGGGGGGAUGGUAAGAGUCGGCGGUUGGGGAUGCACACACGGCUUCUCAGCUUGUUGGUGGGGUAGUGUCUUACCAAGGCUUUGACGGGUGGCCGGCCUGAGAGGGUGACCGGCCACAUUGGGACUGAGGUACGGCCCAGACUCCUACGGGAGGCAGCAGUGGGGAAUAUUGCACAAUGGGCGGAAGCCUGAUGCAGCAACGCCGCGUGCGGGAUGACGGCCUUCGGGUUGUAAACCGCUUUCGCCUGUGACGAAGCGUGAGUGACGGUAAUGGGUAAAGAAGCACCGGCUAACUACGUG